UAUGAGCGCUGCUAAACAUGCAGUCGACCGGAAAGGAUCAUGAGCUUGCUCCUUUGACUUUAGCGGCGGACGGGUGAGUAACACGUGGGUGACCUGCCUAUCACAGUGGAAUAACUCCGGGAAACCGGGGCUAAUGCCGUAUAAGAUUUCAAACCGCAUGGUGCGGAGGUGAAGAUGGUUUUGCUAUCACUUAUCUGAUGGACCCUCGCCUUGUUAGCGUAGUUGGUGGGGUAAUGGGUUACCAACGCAACUAUACGCGCCAACCUGUACAGGGCUGCAUCGGCCACUCUGAUAACUGCACCACACUCCCAGACUCCUACGGGAGGCAGAAUAUUGGGAAUCGUCCGCAAUGGGUGAAAAGCCUGACCCACCAGCGCCGAUGAGAGUGAUGAAGGUCUUCAGAUCGUAAAACUCUGUUAUUACGGAAGAACAAAUGUGUAAGUAACUGUGCACGUCUUGACGGUACCUAAUCACAAAGCCACGGCUAACUACGUGCCAGCAGCCGCUGUAAUACAUUCGUGGCAAGCGUUAUCCGGAAUUAUUGGGCGUAAAGCGCGCGUAAGCUCGUUUCUUAAGUCUGAUGUGAAAGCCCACGAUUCAACCGUGGAUGGUCAGUGGAAACUGAGAAACUUAAUUGCGGAAUAGGAAAGUGGAAUUCCAUGUGUAGCAGUAACAUGCACAGAGAUAUCGAGGAACACCAGUGGCACUGGCGACUUUCUGGUCUGUCACUGACACUGAUGUGCGAUAGCGUGCCUAUCAAACAAGAUUAGAUACCCUGGUAGUCCACGCCGUAGACGAUGAGUGCUAACUGUUACGGGGUUUCCGCCCCUUACUGCUGCAGCUAACGCAUUAAGCACUCCGCCUGGAGAGUACGAACUCGACGUUGAAACUCAAAGGAAUUGACAGCGUACCCGCUCAAUCCGAUGCAACAUGUAGUAUCAUUCCAAGCACCGCACAUAAACCUUACCAGAUCUUGACAUCCUUUGACAACUCUAGACAUAAAAUCUUCCCCUUCCGGGUGACAAACUGACCGGUGGCUGCAUGGUUGUCGUCAACUCCUGUAAUGAGAUGUUGGGUUAAGUUCCCGUAACCAGCGCCAUCCUUUAGGUUACUUUGCAAAAAUUAGCUUGGGGUACACCUAGGUGAAAGGCGGGGAAAAAACCCAAAAGAAUAUGGGGAUUAAAGUCCAAAGCAUUAAUGCCCCUUUAAAUUUGGGGCAUAACAACGGGCUUACCAUAG
rnacentral:rRNA from 1 species